rnacentral:rRNA from 1 species
UACGUAGGGACCGAGCGUUGUCCGGAAUCAUUGGGCGUAAAGAGCGUGUAGGCGGCCACUUAAGUCCUGCGUGAAAUCCUGCGGCUCAACCGCAGGCGGUCGUGGGAAACUGGGUGGCUAGAGUGCGGGAGAGGAGAGUGGAAUUCCUGGUGUAGCGGUGGAAUGCGCAGAUAUCAGGAAGAACACCCGUGGCGAAGGCGGCUUGCUGGGCCUUACCUGACGCUGAGGAGCGAAAGCGUGGGGAGCGAACAGG